rnacentral:rRNA from 1 species
UACGGCGAGUGAGCGGUAAAAGCUCAAAUUUGAAAUCUGGUACUUUCAGUGCCCGAGUUGUAAUUUGUAGAAUUUGUCUUUGAUUAGGUCCUUGUCUAUGUUCCUUGGAACAGGACGUCAUAGAGGGUGAGAAUCCCGUUUGGCGAGGAUACCUUUUCUCUGUAAGACUUUUUCGAAGAGUCGAGUUGUUUGGGAAUGCAGCUCAAAGUGGGUGGUAAAUUCCAUCUAAAGCUAAAUAUUGGCGAGAGACCGAUAGCGAACAAGUACAGUGAUGGAAAGAUGAAAAGAACUUUGAAAAGAGAGUGAAAAAGUACGUGAAAUUGUUGAAAGGGAAGGGCAUUUGAUCAGACAUGGUGUUUUUUGCAUGCACUCGCCUCUCGUGGGCUUGGGCCUCUCAAAAAUUUCACUGGGCCAACAUCAAUUCUGGCAGCAGGAUAAAUCAUUAAGAAUGUAGCUACUUCGGUAGUGUUAUAGCUUUUUGGAAUACUGUUAGCCGGGAUUGAGGACUGCGCUUCGGCAAGGAUGUUGGCAUAAUGGUUAAAUGCCGCCC